AUUGAACGCUGGCGGCAGGCCUAACACAUGCAAGUCGAGCGGAUGAAGGGAGCUUGCUCCUGGAUUCAGCGGCGGACGGGUGAGUAAUGCCUAGGAAUCUGCCUGGUAGUGGGGGAUAACGUCCGGAAACGGGCGCUAAUACCGCAUACGUCCUGAGGGAGAAAGUGGGGGAUCUUCGGACCUCACGCUAUCAGAUGAGCCUAGGUCGGAUUAGCUAGUUGGUGGGGUAAAGGCCUACCAAGGCGACGAUCCGUAACUGGUCUGAGAGGAUGAUCAGUCACACUGGAACUGAAACACGGUCCAGACUCCUACGGGAGGCAGCAGUGGGGAAUAUUGGACAAUGGGCGAAAGCCUGAUCCAGCAAUGCCGCGUGUGUGAAGAAGGUCUUCGGAUUGUAAAGCACUUUAAGUUGGGAGGAAGGGCAGUAAGUUAAGACCUUGCUGUUUUGACGUUACCAACAGAAUAAGCACCGGCUAACUUCGUG
rnacentral:rRNA from 1 species